AACGCGAUCGAUUCAACUUGAAAUCUAACAUCUCACACAUCGUGCUUUCAAAAAAAAACAUCGGCAAGUGCUAACCACCUGCAAUCCCCUCCUGGAAUCCUCUCCCUGAUCCUCUUAUUUCCAAUCGAGAGAUGCACCGGCCCGAGCUCCUCCCCGGCCUCGCAUGCGUCGCCACCCCCACCUCGAACUGCCCCCUUCUCAUCGUCUCGAGCACCAGGGUCACCCCACCGGGCACCGGCUGACCAGCCAGCAACCCUCCAUGUUCCUCCUCGAUGCCACCCUCGGGCGACAUCGUAGUGCGUGAUGCUGGCAUUAGAGAUCGAUUCCCCCUCCCUCGUCUGCGGUUCAUGCUUCAGCAGGUGAAAUCACAUGUGCGGAUGCUCCAACGUCUGAAUCGGCUGGUGGAGUGAGAAUGCCACCCGGCCGGAGAACUUGCAGUAGGUCACGACCCCCACACACCCCAAGUGCACCCCCACACCCACCCCAUCUUGAAAUCGAAGGUACUGUACUGCAUCUACCACCCAAGAUUUUAUGAUUUCAUUAGUAAUUUAUGCAGAAGAGUGAUUUUAUUUGUAUUUCAUCCACCAUACGAGUCUUGUUCUGGUGAGGGGUUAGGUCCUUUAUCAUAAUCCUUGUUAAGUAGAGAUUUUUUUUAAUAAUUUGAUAACUCAUACAGUACAUAUGUAGGAGGUCAUGCAUGGUUCUUCUUAGUUUCAAUAUAGAGUGCUUCUAGUGAUGGUGAGAUAUGUUGAGAAAACACUCUCUCAUUGCUUCCUGUAUAAAUAGCUUCCAAAAAUAAGCAUCCAGAGUUGUGGCAAAUUGUUUUUCGUACAUUUUCGAAAUUUCAUGCAUCCACCAAACACUAAUAAUGCACCCUUUGCAACAUUAGCCAUCUGCAUAACUUUGUUCUUCUACAAUGUUUUCAUUUUGUUGCGGUCGUUUAGAAAAAUGUUUCCAUGCCCACAACGUUUACUUCUGUCCUUCUACAAUAUUUUUGUACUUCCACAGUGUACUCAUUUUUGCUAUGGUCAUUUAGAAACAAUAUGUUUCCUUUUUUAUUUUCAAAUUCUUAUGCUUCGUAUAUGAUGAUGUGUGUUGAGAUAGUACUGUUACCUAUGCUUCCCACUAACAUAUUUUCCACACUGUAAUAUAUAUGUUUCUUUGAUCAAUAAGUUUUCUUACAUAGUCCCUUUUUAGUGUAUUUGGCACGUAGGCCAACCAUCCAUGCACCAUCAUGUUGAUAGCAUUUUUAGAUAAUUUAGAACAUUAAUUUACGUUUCCAAUUAAGAUGAGUUAUGUUGACAUAGCACUCUUCUCACACUUCCUACUUUGGGUGCUUCCAAAUUAUAGUACAUAUACUUCUUCCGUCUAAAUGAUUUAUUCCAUAGUUCAACCGAAGUUUGUGAAUUUAGAAUGUAGGUCACACAAACAUUCAUCCCCAAGAUGGUGUAAAUCUUAGUUCUUUUUUAUUUUCAAUAUUUAUACUUCCAGUUUAGAUGAUCCAUAUUGACAUACCACAUGUCAUGCUCACUACCUACUAGGCUUCAAAAUUGUACUUCAUAUGCUUCCUCAGUUUCACAUAGAUUAUUUCCAUUCUGCCUACUUCUAUUUUAAUAUUUUGAUCUUGCCAUUACUUUCACCACUGAAGUAUGUCAUGCUCCCAUAUGUUACUACAUAUGUUUCUUUGGUCUAUAUAUAGUUUGUCAUAUUUCUACUGUUCCCAUCAGUCAACGCUAAGUAACAUAAGUACAACUGUGUGACUACAUUUGUGCCCUUGUUAUAUUUUCUAAUGCAUUAUAGUUUGAACAUUGCUCUCAUGCUUCCUAGUUCAUCACAUAUAUGUUGCGCAUGCUUCACAUCAUUCUAUGUAUGCUUCAUAUUGACUAGCCUUCCAAAUUAUUCUUCUUAUGGUCCUUUGUUUUAGUUAAAAUGCUUCCAUACUUCCCGCUCCUUCCAUUUUAAAAGGUUGUCUCAAUGUUACCACUAAUGUAAUAUGAUUGAAUAUGGCAUGCCACCUAUUUUUCGAGAAAACACAAAGGACCUUUGUGUUUCAUAGAAAAGAUAGAAUGGUCCUCGUAGGAGGUGAGUUUUACAGGUUCAUUGGUCCGAUCAAUGGAUGUCCUAGGAUGUGGUAAGAACAACCCUAAGUCCGUGGGCCCCAGCCUUUGCCCAACAUGGAUGACAUGCCACAUAUUAUGUUUUGUAUGUUUCUUUGGUAUAAUUAGUUUGCUUCCAUAGUCCCCUUUUUUGGUGUUUCUAUUGUUCUAUUUUUCAGCACCAUUGUGAUCAAAACACAACCCCGUGUAUGUUGUGACAAAUCAACUCGUUGCUUCCUGUAAUGUCAUGGUUCCUACUUUUGUGUCUCAUAUGUUUCCUAUAUUAUUGAAUUUUCUCUUCGUCUCAAUUUUAUAUGCUUCCAUUGCCUGUCAUGUAUGUUUUGAUCAAUCAUAUCGCUGCUCCAUGUAAGUUAUGGUGUCUACUUUUUGUAUCACAUAUGUUUCUAUAGCCUGUUUUAUAAUCCUUUUUCAAUUUUCCAUGCUUCAACUACCUAUCAUGUAUGCUCUAAUAGAUCAAAUUAUUGCUUCAUACAAGCCAUGCUUAUUUCAUUUUUGUGUUUUGUGCCACAUGUUGUCAACCAUGCACCAUUGGUUUCUCAAAAGCCUUGCACCGACCUUGGCGGCAGUGUCAAUCCGAAGGGAGUGGAGGAAAGCCAUGCAGCGACCUCCCCACAGAAUGGCGACGGCGUCAACCUGAAGGCAACGGAGGAGGUGGUGUAGACAUGGGUGGUGAUAAUGAGUGAAGCCCUCCCCAGCAAUGUGCUUGCCGACGUAGUGUAUGAGUUUGAGCUUCUGCAACUAGGAUAUUGCCAUGUUGCAUUACUAGCUGGCUGCAGUGUCCCUUUUCUUGCUUCCAUAUUGUACGGCGAGCUUUCGCCUAUGCACUCUGUAUUGCACCGUUGCAACCUAAGACAAUACCCUUCUUUCCCAGCAAACUUACAUGUGGACCUUGUAACAGUUCUUCUUAUGUAAUUUUUCAAUUGUCUCAAG
rnacentral:lncRNA from 1 species